UUUUCAUUCGCGCGGGUAAAAAUUGUACGUGUCGCAAUAAGAUCGAGAUUUAGCUGCAUUCAAAGUCCGAUGUAGCUUGUUAAUAAUAAGCUGGUAGCCAUAAGUAACGAGCCGACUCCUCGCGCCUCUCGGGGGAUUUAAGUUUCAUUUAUUAUCACUGGGAGAAGUGAGAAAUAAACCAAAGCCUCCGCCAUUAUUCUCAGUACCCAGCUAUCUCUUGCUAACGUCAUCACCGAAUUAAGCUCUGAUUUCAGGAGGUGUCGUGGCGCCAGAGAGCAGAUACAGCGGUCAAAGGCAGAUAAGUGUUAGUGCCAGGACGUGCUAGGCAGAGCUAAGCGCCGCCGAUGUACCGGGUCCGCGAGACUAAUAAAUUAAGUGUUUGAGUGGCGUCCUAAUGAUGAAAUCACGAGAAACAUAACAACAUCCUCCUAAGGCGGGGGCCCCGCCUUACCGACCCCGAAUACCGAAUCGUCCAUGGACAACGGGUGGGUUUCAACGACGAGUCCCGGCACGCGAUCCACCCGUGACGUAUUUCAUCCGCGACCUUUUUCUACUCGAUCGGUCUACGAGCGGAGGUAUUAGCGCACGAAAUCCUCAUUUGCGCGAGAGAUCACGAUAGACGCUGUACUCCACGCGCUAUCGUCCACAGCUAUGCGUAAAUGACAAUAACGCGUGCCAUGUAAACCAUGGUGUAAAGAUGCAAGGUGAAGCAAUCUGGUGGACACGCAGUGUCAAUCGGAAGUGGCCCAAACUACCGAACUGACCAAUCAAAAAUUUGCCCCAACCUUCAAACUGCAAAUCGAUUGAAUACAAGUAGAGCCAAUGAACAAUUUGGCCCAAAAAUUGGUCACAUGCGCAACGUUUCACCUUGUAUCUUUACACCACGAUGCAAACUACUUUAAUGUGUAAUAAAUUCAGACAAUGCA